UGGGAAUUGCAGCAUACAUCUUCCGUAAACAGAUCCCAGGAGCAGCCUCCGAUGUCUCUAGUUGCAUGGCUGCCUGCCUACUAUGGCUAAGAGGGUUUCUGGACCCGCUGCUGCAACAGCCCGACCCCUUUCAGAAGCAGGUGCAUUCUACAGUGGACAGAGGAGUCUUACACAUAUUACCUCCUGAAUAGCCUGGACGUUUGUCCUGCUGAAUGUCGAAGUCACCUGCCUGGUAAGCUGUGACUCAUACUCCUGGCCACCUGGCCCUGAAUUUUGAGCUUUUUGGACCAGAUUUUCCUGUCUCUUUGCUUCCUUUUCCUUCCCAGAUCUCCUCCAGUCAUGGCAUGAGUGCCCUGGGGCCGAUGCUGCCUUACUUACUGCACAGGAGGCCAGGAUCAAUUUUUAAUUUUUCCUUGUUCAAGGAAUUUUAGGUGCUGUGAUAGCUAAGUCCCACUCUC